UCAGAAUGUUUCUUCACUGAAGGAAAUGGUGUUUUCCAGUUAAACAUUUAGAAUUGACAGUGAGCAAGUGUUUGAGUUGGAGUUUAGUUGAAUUUCUGAAACCUUGCUAAAAAUUUUAUAGGCUCCAGAAAAACUAUGAACGCAAAAAAAAAAGGGAAAAACACAAGGUCAUAAUUUCUGUCCCAUUUCAUAAUAAAUGAUGCACCAACUCACUAAAUAGCGGCUUCUAUUCCCGCAUAUUUACCAAGCAUUUUGAUAGAAGGUUGUUUCUCCUCAAGUUGUCCUCAACUUUGUUCCUGUAUUUCCUUUUUGCCUAUUUCUUUGCGCAUUUGUUCUGCUUUU
rnacentral:lncRNA from 1 species